AAGGAAGGUUUGAGGGCAAAUCAAUUGUGAAUUCAGUCAGGUCUGAAAAGAAGCAGCUGUAACAAUCUUUUUUUGGGUCUCACAACCUUCCAUAUU
rnacentral:SRP_RNA from 1 species